rnacentral:pre_miRNA from 1 species
AGGCAAUAACAAUUUCAUGGACUAGCUCCAACUGUUUUUGUUAAGCUGCAAUUAAUGUGUGACAUUGUUGUCGGCUCACUACUAGUUAUUCGAUGUAUAUGGGGACUAACAUCCUUCCUAUCUUAAUUAGACAACUUGGCAGUGAGCUGACAAUAAUGUCACACAUUAAUUAUGGCCUAACAAGAACAAUUGGUGCUAGUCUUUGACAUUGUCGUCU